UCAGAUGCGGAUGGAUCGACCUCCCGGCAGAGCGCCCCGUCCCAGAUGAGGCGAUCCCCCUGAGAAGGAAGUAAAGCCGGAUAGCAGCAGUGAAGGCGAAGCAUUGUGAAGGCUGCCUCCUGAUGUUGUGCUGAGGCCCCCUCACUGACCUGCCAAGAGACCCGGUUUGCUUCUCCGGUGAGCCUCAGCAAAUGUUACCGGAGUCCGUGACGAAGCCUCGACCUCGUCCACGUGAAGGCGUGCCCCGCGACGACGGCGUCCGCCUCGGAGCGUGGCCGAAGCGUGUGGCCCGAGGACCCGGGCGUUCCUAAGAGACGGUGAUGAUGCUUGUCUGAGACAACAGCCCGGCGAGAGAAGAACUUCCCAUACGGCGAGGUGGCUUCGUUUGGCCCCUGACCGGCCUCUCGCCGUGACUUACGUCUUCAGCCAUCCGAGAGAUAAGCGGAGCCCGCAGAGGGGAUCAAAGCAGGGCGGCGGGUCGGGACUCAGAUCGGUUUGGGUUUUUGAGUGAGCUUUGGGGAUGGGGAGGCUCUAGAAAUGACCCCAUAGGCCCCAUCGAGGGAAAGCCUCACUUUGGCUCGCAGUGCUGAGGCGGGCAGGGCAGAGCAGUCCCAGGGUGUGUCGUCACAUGUCUCUCGUGCCUUCCGUGUCUUCCGCGCAUCUCGUGUAACGUGUCUCUUGCCUUAGCUCUCCCAGGGGCUUUUGAGAAACCCCGGGGUCCUUCCGGUCAUCUCCCAUCUUUGCGUUCCUCGGCCCGGGGCCGACGCCGGCGAAGUUUCGAUUCGGGAGCUCGGACAGGCGUCGGAAUCGCAUCUCUGUUCAGCAGCAUCCGAUCGGAUGUCUUCUUAGGUCUUGUUCUCAGCUGUGUUGACAGCUGUAUGCAGUAAUCUUUCUUUACAGUGGAUAAGGACUUGUGCCGAUUCAAAGGCAGGCAGAGGCUUUCAGCCACAGGAUUCUCAGGCAUCCGUCUCCGCGGUUCUCGGAAUAAGUCGUUCCGUUAGCAUCUUUUUCCUCCGGGGUCAUCCGAGCCCGGCGGGCUCGCCUUCGGUCCCCCCUCGGUCAUCUCGUUCAGCAUUCUCUCGGUCCUCGUGAGGACUUUCUCGUCCCAGAGAGUUUUCUCUCCCCGUCGUGUCCCCUCGUCUCACGUGUCACGGGUGUCUGGGGGUAUUCGGUCCGGAACUGCUCUGCCCUGCCGCCCGGCCCCGUUGCAGGUGUUCAAGGACAAGUCCCGGGCACUUGUAAUUGGAGACUCGUAAUACGGGCUGUAGUUGGAGUCUAGGUAGUAUUCUUAUGUUGGCAGAAGGUGUCUGGAGCUGUGAAGUUACCCUGCAGCAGUUUGACCUUUUUCCUAACUUUCUUUCAGAUGCGGAUGGAUCGACCUCCCGGCAGAGCGCC